GCGGAUAUGGCGGAAUAGGCAGACGCGUUAGAUUCAGGUUCUAAUGAAGGCAACUUCGUGCAGGUUCAACUCCUGUUAUCCGCACCA
rnacentral:tRNA from 1 species